AGUGAACGCUGGCGGUAGGCCUAACACAUGCAAGUCGAACGGCAGCACAGUAAGAGCUUGCUCUUACGGGUGGCGAGUGGCGGACGGGUGAGGAAUACAUCGGAAUCUACUUUUUCGUGGGGGAUAACGUAGGGAAACUUACGCUAAUACCGCAUACGACCUACGGGUGAAAGCAGGGGAUCUUCGGACCUUGCGCGAUUGAAUGAGCCGAUGUCGGAUUAGCUAGUUGGCGGGGUAAAGGCCCACCAAGGCGGCGAUCCGUAGCUGGUCUGAGAGGAUGAUCAGCCACACUGUAACUGAGACACGGUCCAGACUCCUACGGGAGGCAGCAGUGGGGAAUAUUGGACAAUGGGCGCAAGCCUGAUCCAGCCAUACCGCGUGGGUGAAGAAGGCCUUCGGGUUGUAAAGCCCUUUUGUUGGGAAAGAAAAGCAGCAGGUUAAUACCCCGCUGUUCUGACGGUACCCAAAGAAUAAGCACCGGCUAACUUCGUG
rnacentral:rRNA from 1 species